rfam:Ovis aries breed Texel chromosome 15, whole genome shotgun sequence.
UCCUUGAUGGUCUAGUGGUAGGACUCAGUGCUCUCACCACUGCAGCCCAGGUUGGAUUCCUGGUCAGGGAA